GCCGUUUGGGAAUCGCUAGUUUAUGCGAAGGUGACGCUGGACCCUUCGUUCACGUCGCGUUUUGUCCGACGCUCCCUUAUCAAUUCUCGGUAGCCAAGGAGCUGCAUCCGAGACAAUUCGGUAUAUAACUGCCGUGUACAGAGUGCAUUCAGGCAUCCGAGUCCCAGAUGCACUUCGCACGCAUGUAUGUAUUUUAUCUUUGGUGGGUUUUGAGAAGGCGAAACUCGCUAUGAUUUGCGUCAUUGCUCACAGCGAUGCGACCAAGGAUGGGAUCCACGAAAGAACAACCCCAAUUUGUGUGCAAAUGGUUUCCGCAAAUACCUUGUA
rnacentral:sRNA from 1 species